UAAGAAUUUGACCAGCUUUGCACCUAGUGCACUCAGCAGACACUUCAGACUGGAGAGAAUGUUUGCUUCAGAAAAUAUUAAGAGACCGUGAGAGCGUCAGUAACUUCCUUCCUGGCUGAGAUGAUAUUUCAGAGACGUUCACUUGGACUAUGAGGUCAGUAACGAGAGGCUUUCCUCCCGCCCUCUCUCUGCUGCAGCCACAUAUACUGAUUUUGAAGAGACAUGAAGUCAAGCAGGAGCUGCUGGUCUAUCCUCCUGUUCGUCAGUUUCUCCCAUGCUCUUCUCAUUGACAUUCCUCAGGAUUCAGUCAAUGGAACUGUCGGUCAUUCUGUCCUCCUGUCCAUCUCCUAUAGACUCCAGGGGCCAUUUUCCUCUCCUCUGUCCAUUCAGUGGAAUUUCAGUAACACCCCUGAUCCACUCACCAUGUACACAGUGACUAACUGUUCUGUCAGUGCAGAGGGGAUUCCCACCCGCUGCUCUGGACUUAAUUAUACACAUGAAGCAUACCAAGGCCGGACUGAAUUUUUUCCUGAAAAUGCUUCUCUGCUCCUUCGGAACCUGCAGCUCAGUGACCGCGGAGUCUACAGCGUCACCUUCAAAGCACCACAGCAAAGCAGACACAUCACAUUAACUGUAUCUGAAUCUCACCUGAACCAUGGAAAUGCAGAGGGUGGAAAAAGAGAAGAAACUAACCAAUCUCCAGACCAUCUCCUUGGACUUCAGAUCACUGGUGGCUUCUGUUUUCUCCUACUUAUCCUGUUGCUGCUCUUCUGCUGCAGACAGCAUAAAGGUGCAGUUCAACAGAGGAAGACAAGAGUCAUAGAGCAAGAAGAGAUCCCAAACCAUGAGGAAUCUCACAUGGAAAGUUCAUUACCAACAACGGUAUCAACAAUUUAUGCAAGGAUUGGAGAAGACACUGGGCAGCGGCAGCGCAGAUCAGAGUCACAGACUGAAUAUGCCUCUAUAAGCUUCUCUUAACAGGAACUGUAACCUCAACAUGCAGAGCUGGUUUUAGCCUCUCCAUGGUUCAUUCUGCAGCCAAAAAGGCCUGACUUUAGGGAUCCAUGAAAAUUGUGGCAACA
rnacentral:lncRNA from 1 species